AGGGUUUGAUUAUGGCUCAGAACGUACGCUGGCGGCACGCCUAAUACAUGCAAGUCGAACGAAGUAGCAAUACUUAGUGGCAGACGGGUGAGUAACAUGUGGGUAUCUUCCCUUUGGUGAGGAAUAACACGAGGAAACUUGUGCUAAUACCUCAUAAGUCUUUACGGAGAAAGCUUUAUGCGCCAAUGGAUGAGCCCGCACUUGAUUAGUUUGUUGGUGGGGUAAUGGCCUACCAAGACAAUGAUCAAUAGCUGAUUUGAGAGGAUGAUCAGCCACAUUGGGACUGAGACACGGCCCAAACUCCUACGGGAGGCAGCAGUAGGGAAUCUUGCACAAUGGGGGAAACCCUGAUGCAGCGAUGCCGCGUGAGUGAAGAAGGCCCUUGGGUUGUAAAGCUCUUUCGUCGGGGAAGAAAAUGACUGUACCCGAAUAAGAAGGUCCGGCUAACUUCGUGCCAGCCGCCGCGGUAAUUC
rnacentral:rRNA from 1 species